rnacentral:rRNA from 1 species
AUUGAACGCUGGCGGCAUGCCUUACACAUGCAAGUCGAACGGCAGCACGGGAGCAAUCCUGGUGGCGAGUGGCGAACGGGUGAGUAAUAUAUCGGAACGUGCCCAGUCGUGGGGAUAACGUAGCGAAAGCUACGCUAAUACCGCAUACGAUCGUAAUGGAUGAAAGCGGGGAUCGCAAGACCUCGCGCGAUUGGAGCGGCCGAUAUCAGAUUAGGUAGUUGGUGAGGUAAAGGCUCACCAAGCCGACGAUCUGUAGCUGGUCUGAGAGGACGACC